GGUAGAGGGUGACUGCAUAAGACUCAUUUCCUUGUGAAAGCAAUCUAAAGAAAUUGCUAUAUUUGAGGUAAGAAUGCCUGACAAUGUAUUGCUCUUCUGAUUGUAGGUCACUUUCUCUUCACAGAAGAGGAGUUCAGGAAAUGAGAAUUCCCAGAGACAGACUACAGACAUUGCAAAAGUUGAUGGACGGAGCAGACAACAGGAUUAGGCCUGCUCAGCCCUGCUGCUGCCUUAGGUCACUGCUCAGAAAAAUGAAAGUCUAGAGCAUCCAAACAGUGCCCAUCUGAGUUCUCCCACCGCAGAAAGAACUAGAAGAGAGUUCUUGAGGAACAGAGGGAUCAUCAAAGAUUCAGAAUGGUUCUACAGGGUGAGUGACUCAGGGCGCAGAACUGCUGUGGUCAUUCUUUCCUGCCUCUACCUGCACUGUACUGGC
rnacentral:lncRNA from 1 species